rnacentral:rRNA from 1 species
AUGUCCAUGGAGAUUGGGAGCAACGACUGUGAGGAGGAGGAGGAGGACACUGGCAAUGGCAAUCCGAUGAAGCCAGGUACUCUUCUACAUUCAGCAUACCCGCCGCCGCCGGGGCUGCUGCGACGAGGAGCACCUGUCACGCACCGGCGGCAGUCCCAGCAGGCUAUUCCGGCGCCCUUCAUGUCAUCCGGGCCGCCCACCGCCGACACGCCGAUGCCCCAUCAUCAGGGGCAGCUCGGUAUGUUCCAUGGCCAGCACGGCGGAUCCAGGCCGCUGUUCUGUCCGCCAGGGAGCUACCCAAGUGCCGCCGAUGCCAUCGCGUCCAGAAAUCAGCAGCGUUUCACCGCCAACAGUGCCGUCUAUGCCCCAAGCCGGCGCAUAUGGAAUCCAAAUUCAACACUAAUGACUAUGUUCUACAACGGCGCAGUCAACAUGUUCGACGUCCCGGUGGACAAGGCCCGGGAGAUUAUGGUGUUAGCAAGCAGGACAUCUGUUUCUGACAAUGCUGCAAGAGUGCCCGUGCCUGAGCCGAGGCAUGUGUCGGUCAUUUCAAGUCCAAUCCCCGCCGUGUCACAAGCUCCGACGAUCUCCAAGCGCAUACCAGGCUACCAAAAUUACACCCCAGCUCCAACAACAUCUUCAGGCGUACCAUCAUCAGUUGUUCCACCACCAAGUCAGGCAUCCUCAGCUCAACGGAUGCAACAAGCAUCUCCUGCUGUCGCAGCAGCUAUUAAGCCAAUUGCUGUCCAUCAAUCUCGGAAAGCAUCUCUCGCACGAUUUUUAGAGAAGCGAAAAGAAAGAGUUUCAAGUGUCACACCGUACCCAUUGUCAAAGAGCCCGCUAGUGAGCAGCGGCACCUUUGGUAGUGCGAGCACUCCAAGCAGGUUAUCUAGCGCCAAGAGUCUAUGA